ACUUGGAUUAACUCAACUAAUCAUAUAAUUAAUCAAUCAAAUAAAAAACCUUACAUAAACAAAUUCGAUCAACACAAAUAUAUAUAUUAAUAUCAUCGCAUCCCUCAAAUGAGAUUCAAAAAAAAAAUUACACAUAAAAAGGUACAUACUACUACUAUAUGGAGAUUAAUUAUCACUAAAACGCCUUCUAAUCUCAAAGUCAACAGUCAAGAUAACUGGUAAAAAUAAUUAAGGCAAUACAAAAUAAAUAAUACUAAUAUAUAUAUAUAAAUAUAUUCUACUAACAAUGAUUAUAGUGAGUUGACUAAUGACGUUGGACUUGGACGGGAAACUGACGAGCC
rnacentral:lncRNA from 1 species